rnacentral:misc_RNA from 1 species
GAUGAAGAACGCAGCGAAAUGCGAUAAGUAAUGUGAAUUGCAGAAUUCAGUGAAUCAUCGAAUCUUUGAACGCACAUUGCGCCCAUUAGUAUUCUAUUGGGCAUGCCUGUUCGAGCGUCAUUUUGACCACUUAAGCCUGGCUUAGUGUUGGGAAUCUACGUCUGUAGUUCCUUAAAUCUAGUGGCGGAGCCGCAGUGGCCUCUGAGCGUAGUAAUUUUUUCUCGCUUCUGAAAGUACUGUAGUUUUUGCCAUUAAACCCCCAAUUUUUUAAGGUUGACCUCGGAUCAGGUAGGAAUACCCGCUGAACUUAAGCAUAUCAAAAGCGGAGGA